rnacentral:lncRNA from 1 species
UAUACGCUUCAAGUCUUUCUAUUCUUACAUGCAUGGCAUAGUAUCUCACCUUGCGUUGGAUAUUCUUCCUGUACGUGUGAAGAAGGGAUGCGUAUGAGCAGCCGCUAGCGUGCGCAGCUUGCGUAUGUCGGACGGUCCAAGGUGAGCGGCGCGGCCGGCGAUGUAUGUGGCGACGAUGAGUGGAACGGCAGCGACGACGACGAGGCGAACGACCGGCGACGACGGCGGCAAGCGGACGGCCGGCGACGACGAGGCGAACGACCCGCGACAACGGCGGCAAGCGGACGGCCGGCGACGACGACGGCGAGCAGACGGCCGGCGACGACGGCGGCAAGCGAACGGCCGGCGACGACGACGGCGAGCAGACGGCUGGCGGCGAAGAAGCUAGUAGUGUUGGAGUGUGUUUUUGUGUGAGUGAUUGGCAAAUGACUGAAUGAGCGAUAGAUCGAUCCGCCACCACAUACACUCGCUGGUGUGGUAUAUAUAGGAGCGAGGCAGCAUGCAGCGGGAGGCCUCCGGCUGGACGUCCUCACAUCGUGUAAUCAUGGGAGCAGGAGCAUGGGUGGAUGAGUAGAACGUGAGAGUAACUGGCUCUUUUAUUUUAUUGUAUUUCCUAUUAAUCGAUGGUUGGCCAUAUUUUGAACCGGCAACUUCCUUUUAAUUAGCCGAUGUGGGCUUGAUUUUUUUCUUAUCAACGUGUG